GGAGCCGUGGCAGAGAGGAUUAUUGUAGCGGUCUUGAAAACCGUCGUGGGUAACACCACCGUGGGUUCGAAUCCCACCGGCUCCU
rnacentral:tRNA from 1 species